AGCGAACGCUGGCGGCAGGCCUAACACAUGCAAGUCGAACGAUGAACUUGGAGCUUGCUCUGGGGGAUUAGUGGCGAACGGGUGAGUAACACGUGAGUAACCUGCCCUGGACUCUGGGAUAACUUCGAGAAAUCGGAGCUAAUACCGGAUAGGACCUUGCACCGCAUGGUGUGGGGUGGAAAGUUUUUCGGUUUGGGAUGGACUCGCGGCCUAUCAGCUUGUUGGUGAGGUAAUGGCUCACCAAGGCGUCGACGGGUAGCCGGCCUGAGAGGGUGACCGGCCACACUGGGACUGAGACACGGCCCAGACUCCUACGGGAGGCAGCAGUGGGGAAUAUUGCACAAUGGGCGCAAGCCUGAUGCAGCAACGCCGCGUGCGGGAUGACGGCCUUCGGGUUGUAAACCGCUUUUAGUAGGGAAGAAGCCUUCGGGUGACGGUACCUGCAGAAAAAGGACCGGCUAACUACGUGCCAGCCGCCGCAGUAACAC
rnacentral:rRNA from 1 species